rnacentral:rRNA from 1 species
UCGUGGAAUGAUCUGUCUGCUUAAUUGCGUUAACGAACGAGACCUUGACCUGCUAAAUAGUUACGCGAUUCUCGAAUCGCGGAUAACUUCUUAGAGGGACUUUUGGUGACUAACCAAAGGAAGUUCGAGGCAAUAACA